rnacentral:lncRNA from 1 species
CCUGGUUGCUGGCCGCGAACCGGGACUGCUGCCGACAAACCCAACGCGAGGAAGAAUCCUAUCAUGGCCAUUGCUUUCUUUUCCGUUCCAAGCUCCCAAGGAGAGACUAUUAAAUAAUUGUGGUGCCGACGGGUUUUAGACGGAUAAGUUGUCCUUCGGAGACUAUGGCUUCUCGAGAGAAGCCGCGUUAGAUGAAAGUCUCCAUUUGAACAGGUCCCAUCUCCAUCUUGCUUACCCAAAGUGAACAAAUUAUUCAGUUGCCUUCCGUUCUGUAACCAUUUAUCGGACGGGGAGAAGAUUUACUUCUUUGAUUUUGAGGCUAGAAGCUUCCCCCUCGAAAAAGACAU